UACGAACUGUGCGAACGUUAUUCGGAAUCACUGGGCUUAAAGGGUGCGUAGGCGGCUGCCUAAGUCAGGUGUGAAAUCUCCCGGCUCAACCGGGAAACUGCGCUUGAUACUGGGCGGCUCGAGUGAGGUAGGGGUGUGUGGAACUUCCGGUGGAGCGGUGAAAUGUGUAGAUAUCGGAAGGAACGCCAGCAGCGAAAGCGGCACACUGGGCCUUUUCUGACGCUGAGGCACGAAAGCCAGGGGAGCGAACGGGG
rnacentral:rRNA from 1 species